rnacentral:rRNA from 1 species
UACGGGGGGGGCAAGCGUUGUUCGGAAUUACUGGGCGUAAGGGGCUCGUAGGCGGCCGCUUAAGUCAGACGUGAAAUCCCUCGGCUCAACCGGGGCACUGCGUCUGAGACUGAAUGGCUUGAAUCCGGGAGAGGGAUGCGGAAUUCCAGGUGUAGCGGUGAAAUGCGUAGAUAUCUGGAGGAACACCGGUGGCGAAGGCAGCAUCCUGGACCGGUAUUGACGCUGAGGAGCGAAAGCCAGGGGAGCAAACGGG